UACGGGGGGAGCAAGCGUUGUUCGGAUUUACUGGGCGUAAAGGGCGCGUAGGCGGCCUCCGCAAGUCAAUUGUGAAAUCUCCGGGCUUAACUCGGAAAGGUCAACUGAUACUGCGGGGCUAGAGUGCGGAAGGGGCAACUGGAAUUCUUGGUGUAGCGGUGAAAUGCGUUGAUAUCUACAGGAACUCCGGUGGCGAAAGCGGCGUGCUGGACCUUUUCUGACGCUGAGGCGCGAAAGCUAGGGGAGCAAACGGG
rnacentral:rRNA from 1 species